CCCCGCCCGGGGGAGGGACGACCGGGCGGGCUCCCGACGAGCUCCAUCCCGCUCGCGCCCCCGCCCCACCUCCGCGCUGCACGGGGUCGGCCCACGCGGCGCCGGCGCCCUAGCGCGUCCGGCUCGCGCUUCCUCGCCCUCGGGGCGCCCGAGCCGUUCCGUGCUGGAUCCGGAGCCCGAAUACUCUGGCCUUGGGGAAUGGACCCAUUAAGCCUUCCCGGAAACCUAAAGGUCGCUCGAGGCAGUAAGGCGGAGCUGAGGGGCCGCAUCAUUAAGCCCAGGGCUUAGGGUGGGUGGGCUCGUGCAGACACACACACACACAAAUGUUCCCAAAGGCUCUACCCGGAGGCAUCCUUAGCUGACCAUUCACUGCGUUUUCGAUGGCAACUUGUUGCUUGGAUUCUAGUCAGGACCAAGUUCUUGUAUUUGAGGGGAAUUUGGAACCACGCUCUUUCCCACCCACUCAGAAGCUACUACCACGGUUCUACAAAUAAGACAUCUGCUCGUUCAAAGAAAACUAUCCAUUCUGGGCUUCAUGGAGUCAGUGAGUGUUUCCUGCUUAGCCCAGCAUGUACUGUGGGCUUAACUAAGGGGGAUGACAGAGGUCAGUCUUAUGCACCAACACUGUUUUGCCAGGCCCUCUACAAAACUGCAAAUGAGCUGCCCCCCUCCUCUCUGCAGGCUUUUAAGAUAACUCAGCGAUUUUCCAUGGUUUUGAGAUUGUGAUGCCCUUUAAUAUUGUUUUUCGCGCUAUGAAAUCUAAACCCACUGGGAUGCGACCCACAGAUGAUAAAGCAAAUGCAAAUAUAUCUGCCUUAUCGCUGAAAAUCCCGACUCUGCUACUCAGAACACUGAGAGUCUAUUGUGGAACCUGGACUCUAGGAGCUAUAUUGAAAAUCAUCACUGGUUCUACAGAAUUCUAUUAUCUGGAAAAAUCCACACUCAGAUACUAGUCAUUUGAGAAAGCACAAUCUCUUAUGUCCCUACGGAGACCUAGCUAACAUUUUGGGGAUAUGAUAUUAACUAUCUCCAAAAGGGCCCAUGGACUAUCCUGUUUUGAGAUUCUUCUGAUGGCUGAAGAAAGGGAACAGGUGGAAAUUAUGCUGAAAGAAGUACUUUCACAAAAUGAUGCCCAAGCAUCUUGCCCAAUUCAACUCAAAAUUUUAUUCAUUAUCUACAAGGUACCAGGCACGAAGCAAGCUGCUGAUGAUAUGGAGACCAAUAAAGCUUCAACUUCCCCUUAAGAAACUCACAGUGUAGUGGGGAAGAUGCAAAAUAACUUUUAGACAAUCGAUAGUAGCAUACCAAUAGUACUGCAGAAACAGUGAUGAGAGAGCUGUUAAUUAGGGCCAGAAGCUCCUGAAAAAAGAGGUGACAGGUCAUUACAAGGAAGCCGUAUGGAAGUGCCAUUAACUCCAGUAACAGCAACAUUUCGGGAAUGAUUGAAGACCGGGGAGCCAGCAGGAAAGGACAGAAAAGAGCAGACAGAGAGGAGACAGAGAGGGAGACGGAGAAUCCAAAGCAGGCCCCUGGCUGUGAGCUGUCAGCACAGAGCCCGACGUGGGGCUCCAACUCAUGAACCAUGAGAUUGUGACCUGAGCCAAAUUCGGAUGCUUAACCGACUGAGCCACCCAGGCACCGCUGUAUGUUUCUCAUUUAUAUGCUUCUACUAAGUCCCAGCCAUGGCGCCUUGCACUCAACAUGUAUCAUCCUCCAAACAACCCAGAAAGAACCUGAUGUGGGGCUUGAUCCCGUGACUGAAUGGAAAUCAAGAGUCGGUCGCUCAACUGACUGAGCCACCCAGGGGUCCCAGAGAGUGUACUUCUAACCUGGGUUAGAAAGAGAUCAGCAGCAAUCAUAACACCCUGGAAAUGAAAACCCAGCCCAUCAUUUUCUGAAUACCAGGUAAACUCAGAGCUAUUUUGUUCAUCAGGCACUGCAGGCACAGUGCCUGCACUUGCAAGCUUCCCAAAAGCCUAUGAAAAUAUUUGAGACCUGGAAAAUACAUAUUGGUUCCAAAAUAUGAAAAUAAAGUGGCAGAUUGGUCAAAAUUAAUAAAUGUUUAAAUAUCUAUAAAAUGUAGCUUUAUGUCAACUGUAACCCAACAGCCAAAUUUAAACCUUAAGAACCACAUUAAUAACUUAUAUAUAAUAAAACUCAAAAUGUAUGCAAGUUACAAACAUCCUUUCAAAAUUUUUACAGCAAAAAAGUAUACUCUGUGUGAUUCAUUUUAAUAAGUUUGAUAUGACAUGGGAUGAAACUUUUUUUUUUAAUUUUUUUUUAACGUUUAUUUAUUUUUGAGACAGAGAGAGACAGAGCAUGAACAGGGGAGGG